CCUACGGGAGGCAGCAGUGGGGGAUAUUGCACAAUGGGGGAAACCCUGAUGCAGCGACGCCGCGUGGGCGAAGAAGUAUUUCGGUAUGUAAAGCCCUAUCAGCAGGGAAGAAGAAAUGGCGGUACCUGAGUAAGAAGCACCGGCUAAAUACGUGCCAGCAGCCGCGGUAAUACGUAUGGUGCAAGCGUUAUCCGGAUUUACUGGGUGUAAAGGGAGCGCAGGCGGCACGGCAAGCCUGAUGUGAAAGCCCGCGGCCCAACCGCGGGACUGCAUUGGGAACUACCGGGCUGGAGUGCCGGAGAGGUAGGCGGAAUUCCUAGUGUAGCGGUGAAAUGCGUAGAUAUUAGGAGGAACACCAGUGGCGAAGGCGGCCUACUGGACGGUGACUGACGCUGAGGCUCGAAAGCGUGGGGUGCAAACAGGAUUAGAUACCCCAGUAGUC
rnacentral:rRNA from 1 species